rnacentral:misc_RNA from 1 species
GAUGAAGAACGUAGCGAAAUGCGAUACGUAAUGUGAAUUGCAAAUUCAGUGAAUCAUCGAGUCUUUGAACGCACAUUGCGCCCCCUGGUAUUCCGGGGGGCAUGCCUGUCCGAGCGUCAUUGCUGCCCUUCAAGCCCGGCUUGUGUGUUGGGUCGUCGUCCCCCCCGGGGGACGGGCCCGAAAGGCAGCGGCGGCACCGCGUCCGGUCCUCGAGCGUAUGGGGCUUUGUCACCCGCUCGAUUAGGGCCGGCCGGGCGCCAGCCGGCGUCUCCAACCUUCUAUUUUACCAGGUUGACCUCGGAUCAGGUAGGGAUACCCGCUGAACUUAAGCAUAUCAAUAAGCGGAGGA